rnacentral:rRNA from 1 species
GGGGAAUAUUGCACAAUGGGGGAAACCCUGAUGCAGCAACGCCGCGUGAAGGAAGAAGGAUCUAUGGUUCGUAAACUUCUUUUGCAGGGGAAUAAAGUGCAGGACGUGUCCUGUUUUGUAUGUACCCUGAGAAUAAGGAUCGGCUAACUCCGUGCCAGCAGCCGCGGUAAUACGGAGGAUCCGAGCGUUAUCCGGAUUUAUUGGGUUUAAAGGGUGCGUAGGUGGUUUGAUAAGUCAGCGGUGAAAGUUUGCAGCUUAACUGUAAAAAUGCCGUUGAAACUGUCGGACUUGAGUGUAAAUGAGGUAGGCGGAAUGCGUGGUGUAGCGGUGAAAUGCAUAGAUAUCACGCAGAACUCCGAUUGCGAAGGCAGCUUACUAAGCUACAACUGACACUGAAGCACGAAAGCGCGGGGAUCAAAC